AUGAUGGCACAGCCCCAGCUCCUCAUGGUGUUGCUGCUCUGGGCAUCAGGUGCCUGUGGGGACAUCAUAAUGACCCAGUCUCCAGCCUCCCGGGCUGUGUCUCUAGGAGAAACAGUCACCAUCAACUGCAAGUCCAGCCAGAGUCUUACCAGCAGCAGUAACUAUCACUACUUAGCCUGGUAUCAGCAGAAAGCAGGACAAGCUCCGAAGCUUCUCAUCUACGGGGGAUCCAACAGGGCAUCUGGGGUCCCUGACCGGUUCAGUGGCAGUGGGUCUAGGACAGAUUUCACUCUCACCAUCAGCAGGGUCCAGGCUGAAGAUGUGGCCAAUUAUUAUUGUCAGCAAUAUUAUAGUACUCCACCCACGUUCAGUCAGGGUCAAUUCUUAGAGAUCCUGCGUAGUGUUUCAGAGAAGCUGAUAGCUUUGAACCGCCAACCUUAUGUUUCCUUUGACUGUUAUGACAAAUCAGCAUAA